rnacentral:rRNA from 1 species
GACGAACGCUGGCGGCGUGCUUAACACAUGCAAGUCGAACGGAAAGGCCUCUUUCGGGGGGUACUCGAGUGGCGAACGGGUGAGUAACACGUGAGUAACCUGCCCUUGACUUUGGGAUAACUUCAGGAAACUGGGGCUAAUACCGGAUAGGAGCUCCUGCUGCAUGGUGGGGGUUGGAAAGUUUCGGCGGUUGGGGAUGGACUCGCGGCUUAUCAGCUUGUUGGUGGGGUAGUGGCUUACCAAGGCUUUGACGGGUAGCCGGCCUGAGAGGGUGACCGGCCACAUUGGGACUGAGAUACGGACCAGACUCCUACGGGAGGCAGCAGUGGGGAAUACUGCACAAUGGGUGGAAGCCUGAUGCAGCAACGCCGUGUGCGGGAUGACGGCCUUCGGGUUGUAAACCGCUUUCGCUCAUGACGAAGCUUUGUGUGACGGUAGUGGGUAAAGAAGCACCGGCUAACUACGUG